rnacentral:pre_miRNA from 14 species
UUCUCACUGAAAGAUCCCCGAAGAGAGAUCCUUAUUCAAAUCUCGGGAAAUCGUGGACCCCAGACACAGAGAGACCA